UGGGUUUGUCAUAAAUAGCUCUUAUUAUUUUGAGAUAUGUUCCAUCAAUACCUAGUUUAUUGAGAGUUUUUACCAUGAAGGGGUGUUGAAUUUUAUUGAAGGCCUUUUCUGCAUCUAUCAAGAUAAUCAUGUGGUUGUUGUCAUUGGUUCUUUUAUAUGAUGCUUAUAUGAUGUAUUAUGUUUAUUGUUUUGCAUAUGUUGAGCCAGCCUUGCAUCCCAGGGAUGAAGCUGACUUGAUCGUGGUGGAUGAUAAGCUUUUUGAAGUGCUGCUGGAUUCAGUUUGCCACUAU
rnacentral:lncRNA from 1 species